rnacentral:misc_RNA from 1 species
UGUGGGCAUUUCUACUUGUGCUGUUCGAGAGACUGGUUGUGUGUGUUAUAAGACUAUCAAAUCUGUUUAAUAAAUUUAGACAUUUAUAAUACAAAAUGUCACGUUAUCGUGAAUGGGAUCUUUCGUGUAAAGUAUACGUUGGUAAUCUAGGAAACAGUGCGAGUAAACAUGAAAUCGAAAGCGCAUUCAGUAAAUAUGGUCCCCUUAGAAAUGUAUGGGUUGCCAGAAAUCCACCUGGAUUUGCAUUUGUGGAAUUUGAAGAUCCACGUGAUGCAGAAGACGCAGUCAGAGGAUUAGAUGGAACACGCUGUUGUGGAACCAGGGUUAGGGUAGAGAUGUCCUCUGGAAGAAGUAGACGUGGUGGUGGUGGACGUAGACCAGGUCCAAGAUAUUCCAGGUCCAGAUCUCGCAGUCCACGUAGGAGAUCACUGGGUCGAUAUCCAAGGUCCUGGUCAAGAAGUCCACGCAGAUCACCAAUAAGCCGAUAUUCCAGAUUCUACCAGCGUCAGCUCCUAGCUCUGCUCGUCUCCCCGCCACUACUACUACUGCUACUACUACUACUACUACAGCCACCGUGAAAAAAAGUCUAGCAAUCGAAACUGAACAAAAAAAAAGCCUGCCUGCCCACUAACUUCCCAACCAGUCACCAUCAGUCACCACCAGUCACCGGUCGAGGUCCCGCAGCCCGCGCAGGAGAUCUCUGACCCGUAGCCGCA